CCUCUGCCAGUCUUUACAUUGGCUCCCUAUAUGCUAUAGGAGUCAAUUCAAAGUGCUAACCCAUACAUUUAAAGCACUGAACAAUUCUAGCCCCACUUAUAUCUCUUCACUAAUCCAUAGAUAUGCCCCUCCUCGUACCCUCCGCUCUGCCCGUGACCACCUCCUGACUGCUGCUCGCACCCGUACGGCCAACUCGCGCUUGCAGGACCUCUCGCGGGCGGCUCCUCUCCUAUGGAAUAGCUUGCCUACUGCCAUCAGACUCUCC